GACGAACGCUGGCUGCGUGCUUAACACAUGCAAGUCGAACGGAAAGGCCCUGCUUUUGUGGGGUGCUCGAGUGGCGAACGGGUGAGUAACACGUGAGUAACCUGCCCUUGACUUUGGGAUAACUUCAGGAAACUGGGGCUAAUACCGGAUAGGAGCUCCUGCUGCAUGGUGGGGGUGGGAAAGUUUCGGCGGUUGGGGAUGGACUCGCGGCUUAUCAGCUUGUUGGUGGGGUAGUGGCUUACCAAGGCUUUGACGGGUAGCCGGCCUGAGAGGGUGACCGGCCACAUUGGGACUGAGAUACGGCCCAGACUCCUACGGGAGGCAGCAGUGGGGAAUAUUGCACAAUGGGCGGAAGCCUGAUGCAGCAACGCCGCGUGCGGGAUGACGGCCUUCGGGUUGUAAACCGCUUUCGCCUGUGACGAAGCGUGAGUGACGGUAAUGGGUAAAGAAGCACCGGCUAACUACGUG
rnacentral:rRNA from 1 species